ACCCUCCAGAUACCUUGGCCAUCAGAUCUGAACAGUGGGCUGUGUAGUUACAAAAGGAAGAGAAAUCCAUUUAAACAGAGUUAAAAUCUGUUGCAACAGACAAACUGGUUUCCAACAAGA
rnacentral:snoRNA from 1 species